AUUGAACGCUGGCGGCAUGCUUUACACAUGCAAGUCGAACGGCAGCGCGGGCUUCGGCCUGGCGGCGAGUGGCGAACGGGUGAGUAAUGCAUCGGAACGUGCCCAGUAGUGGGGGAUAGCCCGGCGAAAGCCGGAUUAAUACCGCAUACGACCUGAGGGUGAAAGCGGGGGACCGAAAGGCCUCGCGCUAUUGGAGCGGCCGAUGUCGGAUUAGCUAGUUGGUGGGGUAAAGGCUUACCAAGGCGACGAUCCGUAGCUGGUCUGAGAGGACGACCAGCCACACUGGGACUGGGACACGGCCCAGACUCCUACGGGAGGCAGCAGUGGGGAAUGUUGGACAAUGGGGGCAACCCUGAUCCAGCCAUGCCGCGUGCGGGAAGAAGGCCUUUGGGUUGUAAACCGCUUUUGUUCGGGAAGAAAUCCUCUGGGCUAAUACCCCGGGGGGAUGACGGUACCGGAAGAAUAAGCACCGGCUAACUACGUG
rnacentral:rRNA from 1 species